CUAAUACAUGCAAGUCGAACGAACCGCGACCGAGUGCUUGCACUUGGUCAAGGUGAGUGGCGAACGGGUGAGUAACACGUGGGUAACCUACCUCAUAGUGGGGGAUAACAGUCGGAAACGACUGCUAAUACCGCAUAGGACAUGGGAUCACAUGAUUCCGUGAGGAAAGGUGGCGCAAGCUAUCGCUAAGAGAUGGACCCGCGGUGCAUUAGCUAGUUGGUAGGGUAAGGGCCUACCAAGGCAAUGAUGCAUAGCCGACCUGAGAGGGUGAUCGGCCACAUUGGGACUGAGACACGGCCCAAACUCCUACGGGAGGCAGCAGUAGGGAAUCUUCCGCAAUGGACGCAAGUCUGACGGAGCAACGCCGCGUGAGUGAAGAAGGUCUUCGGAUCGUAAAGCUCUGUUGUUAGAGAAGAACAGCGCAUAGAGUAACUGUUAUGCGUGUG
rnacentral:rRNA from 1 species